UACGAAGGGGGCUAGCGUUGCUCGGAAUCACUGGGCGUAAAGCGCACGUAGGCGGGUUGUUAAGUCGGGGGUGAAAUCCUGGAGCUCAACUCCAGAACUGCCUUCGAUACUGGCGACCUUGAGUCCGGGAGAGGUGAGUGGAACUCCGAGUGUAGAGGUGAAAUUCGUAGAUAUUCGGAAGAAACACCAGUGGCGAAGGCGGCUCACUGGCCCGGUACUGACGCUGAGGUGCGAAAGCGUGGGGAGCAAACAGG
rnacentral:rRNA from 1 species